rnacentral:rRNA from 1 species
CAUACUCCUACGGGAGGCAGCAGUGGGGAAUUUUAUGCAAUGGGCGAAAGCCUGACAGAGCAACGCCGCGUGGGGGAAGAAGUCUUCCGAGUUGAAACCUUGCUGUAUUAACGAAGAGGAUGUGACGUACUCAGCGAUGACGGUCU